rnacentral:rRNA from 1 species
GAGUUUGAUCCUGGCUCAGGAUGAACGCUGGCGGCGUGCUUAACACAUGCAAGUCGAACGAAGUUAUAGGAGAGCUUGCUCUAAUAUAACUUAGUGGCGGACGGGUGAGUAACGUGUGGGCAACCUACCUUUUACAGGGGAAUAAUCACUGGAAACGGUGACUAAUACCGCAUAAUAGUAUUACAAGGCAUCUUGUGAUAGGGAAAGGAGUAAUCCGGUAAAAGAUGGGCCCGCAUCUGAUUAGAUAGUUGGUGAGAUAACAGCCCACCAAGUCAACGAUCAGUAGCCGACCUGAGAGGGUGACCGGCCACAUUGGGACUGAGACACGGCCCAAACUCCUACGGGAGGCAGCAGUGGGGAAUAUUGCACAAUGGGGGAAACCCUGAUGCAGCAACGCCGCGUGAAGGAAGAAGGGUUUCGGCUCGUAAACUUCUAUCGAUAGGGACGAAAGAGAUGACGGUACCUAAAUAAGAAGCCCCGGCUAACUACGUGCCAGCAGCCGCGGUAAUACGUAGGGGGCAAGCGUUAUCUGGAAUUACUGGGUGUAAAGGGAGCGUAGGCGGCAAGGUAAGUAAGAUGUGAAAGCCCGCAGCUUAACUGCGAGGAUUGCAUUUUAAACUAUCUAGCUUGAGUACAGGAGAGGUAAGCGGAAUUCCUAGUGUAGCGGUGAAAUGCGUAGAUAUUAGGAAGAACACCAGUGGCGAAGGCGGCUUACUGGACUGUAACUGACGC